rnacentral:rRNA from 1 species
UAGGGAAUCUUCCGCAAUGGACGCAAGUCUGACGGAGCAACGCCGCGUGAGUGAAGAAGGAUUUCGGUUCGUAAAACUCUGUUGUUAGAGAAGAACAGCGCAUAGAGUAACUGUUAUGCGUGUGACGGUAUCUAACCAGAAAGCCACGGCUAACUACGUGCCAGCAGCCGCGGUAAUACGUAGGUGGCAAGCGUUGUCCGGAUUUAUUGGGCGUAAAGCGAGCGCAGGCGGUAAAUUAAGUCUGAUGUGAAAGCCCCCGGCUCAACCGGGGAGGGUCAUUGGAAACUGGUUGACUUGAGUGCAGAAGAGGAGAGUGGAAUUCCAUGUGUAGCGGUGAAAUGCGUAGAUAGAUGGAGGAACACCGGUGGCGAAAGCGGCUCUCUGGUCUGUAACUGACGCUGAGGCUCGAAAGCGUGGGGAGCGAACAGG